AUAAGUACACAGCAAAAUCACCAGUGUUAAAUUUUCAGGGAUGGUGUUAAAUACACAGUGUUGAUGCUGUUUUAACACUAUCUGGUAAUAAAAUAACACUGCCAUUGCUAGGCCAGUGUUAUAUUCACGACAGUGUCAGUGUAAAACAAGGGUGUUAUCAGAUUUCACUCUGAGCGGUGUAAAUCAAGCCACGCCUCCACUAAACAUAUCCUGUCAGGGAUUUUACCGCCAUUUUCUUUCACAGGAGGACUGAAGAGAUCAGGUAAAUCAGUCUCAUAAUAUUCACAUGGUUUAGCUAAAUUAAACUGUUAUUUCUCUGUCUGACUCUACGCAGCCAUAUGCCAAAAAACCUAAAUAAGAUAUUUUUCCCAUUUUAUUUCCCCUUUGUUCGUUAUUUGGUUCAGUUUAAUCAGAGCUACCUUGUGUUACGUUGUUCCCUUGUUAGUUUAGUAUAAAGUUAAACUGCUAGCUAAAAGUUUAAAACCGAGAAGGAUAAUAUUAACAGGAGAUAUGAACGAAAGAAUUGAACCAUGAUAAAACGCGACAUGCACUACAAAUUGAAGGUAUGAAAUUAAGUUAAAUGAAAGCUCGUUUAUUCACCAUAUGAUGCUCGUUAUGAGGUAAUCAUAUAGGCUAGAUACCGUGAGUUAACGAGGUCGUUUACAUGCACGUGAGUGCACGGAUAUCGGUUAAUUAUUCAAAUUACUGAAAAACACGGAGAAAACCGCAACCGCAUCGUCAUGUGUUUUUCUAAGAUGUAUGCAAACAGGGGAAAUAUCGCCAAACCAACAAUUAAUUUGACCAAAACCUCACAAUAUAUCAUCAUUUGUAUGCACAGAUUGGAUGCAUUGUGUGUUGUUAGCUUUUCGUGGCGCUAGAUGUCAGACAGAUGCAAAUGGCAAAUACAUACGAAAGUGUAAAACGUGUAUGGCGAACAUUUGUUUUUCUGUCAUUAUAGAUGCUAGUUUGGUGAAAGUACACUGAGUGCUUCAAAUCAUUCAGAAGAGAUGCUGUUUUUAGGGCAGUUUAUUAAAGAAGACCUGACAUGGAUGACUUCCAAUGAGAAACGACUGCUAAUACUUAUAUAAAUUCAUUACAGAAGGACCCUACCAGACUAUAUUUGAAUACGGCAUACCCAUGAAUUCUGGAACUGUUAUUCCUUAACCCAGUUUGGAGGAUAAGAGCUUACCAACUAGUUAUAAAUAUGCUGAGGUGAUGUAUUGCAAAAUAGCCAACAUACAACAAUGUGGAUGACCCUCUGUCUGGUCAACAGGAGUUUAAAUAUGGACGGGACAGUGAUGUGGCAGCUCUUCCCUGGCUCAUUCACCUCUUGCCUUUUAUUUGUGAAAGGAAGAAAGAAGAAAGAGGGUCAAUGUGCAACUGAAACUACUGAUUGUGCUAUGUGAUGAGCAUCAAUCCAUGCUUUGAGGGGGAUGAAUCAGCACAGCCCUGCCUGCACUGCGAUGGGAACAGAAGUUGCAUCCAGAAUUUUUGCAUCAUUCUGGACCAAAAAGCCAUUCCCUCCAUGAUGAAGACCACUGAUGCAGCCUUCCGCUACAUCAUGAGUAAAACAACUACAGAACUAAAUACCAGGUUGGAACGUAUUUAAGAAAAAUGAAACAUCUUUUGAAUUGAAAUGUCUGUUUUGUUAUGGAAAAAUCUUUAGUAUUGUGAAGGAUAAGCAUUUCUGCCUGCCAGUAAGGUAAUUGCAGUGUAUUUUAAUGUUCAAGUUUUGAGUAGGGUGGCUAAUUUUUUUUAACUCUCAUUUGAUAUAUUAAAGACCUUAUAAUAAGUGGUUUUUAUGUCACUGCGCUGUGGUAUAAGAUAACUUUCAUUAUUCCAUACUGUAUUCUGUUUUCUAAUUGUAGCUGAGGUAUUUAAAUAAGCAGUGUUAAAUGCAAAGUGUUGUGUAUAUCAAUUUAAAUAUUAAAUGUGAUGUACUUUAAUAAAAAGAGGUUUUGCAAUAUUUCUUGUCAUUUGUCUUUUAUAGAAACAACCCAUUA